rnacentral:rRNA from 1 species
CCAAUAGCGUAUAUUAAAGUUGUUGCAGUUAAAAAGCUCGUAGUUGAAUUUCGGGAUCAAUAUGUCGGUCGUGCCUUCGGUACGUACUGGUAUCAUUGGUCUCUCCUUUCUGACGAACCAUGAUGUCAUUAAUUUGGUGUUAUGGGGAGUUAGGACUGUUACUUUGAAAAAAUUAGAGUGUUUAAAGCAGGCUUUAGCUUGAAUACAUUAGCAUGGAAUAAUGAAAUAGGACGUUCGAACCUAUUUUGUUGGUUUCUAGGAUCAACGUAAUGAUUAAUAGGGAUAGUUGGGGGCAUUAGUAUUCAAUUGUCAGAGGUGAAAUUCUUGGAUUUAUUGAAGACUAACUACUGCGAAAGCAUUUGCCAAGGAUGUUUUCAUUGAUCAAGAACGAAAGUUAGGGGAUCGAAGACGAUCAGAUACCGUCGUAGUCUUAACCAUAAACUAUGCCGACUAGGGAUCGGAUGAUGUUAAUUUUUUAAUGACUCAUUCGGCGCCUUACG